GGGCAACGCCAAGUAGCUAUGUCCGGAUGGGAUAACCGCUGAAAGCAUCUAAGCGGGAAGCCCACCCCAAGAUAAGGUCUCCCUGCUCGCAAGAGCACUGAAGGUCGGUGGUAGACUACCACGUUGAUAGGCUGGGUGUGUAAGUGUGGUGACGCAUUAAGCUAACCAGUACUAAUUGACCGUGUGCCUUGACCCC
rnacentral:rRNA from 1 species